rfam:Salmon pancreas disease virus isolate SAVH20/03 non-structural polyprotein and structural polyprotein genes, partial cds.
GAGGGUGGUCAGCUCUGCUGGUCAUCCUU